AUUCGACCCCGUGCUUCUUUGUCGCACAGGAAAAGGGCCACAAUAAUCUCUGGUCACUAUAAAGAGACUUGUCAAUUCGGUCCCACAACCAUACGUCCCCGGGGGUCACGUCCUUUAUCCCUCGAGGGAUGGGCGCGCCCCCCCAAGCUGUGGUUUUGUUUUUAAUUCGAAGCAACGGGAGACCCUACCCAGGGCUUGACUUCUUUGACCGCUCUAGAGAUAGAGCUUCCUUCGGGACAGAGUGACAGGUGGUGCAUGGUGUCGUCAGCUCGUGUCGUGAGAUGUUUGGUUAAGUCCAAUAACGAGCGCAACCCUGUUGCUAGUUGCUAACAUUUAGUUGAGAACUCUAGCGAGACUGCCGCGGACAACGCGGAGGAAGGAGGGGACGACGUCAAAUCAUCAUGCCCCUUAUGUCCUGGGCUACACACGUAAUACAAUGGCAACGACAGAGGGCAGCUAAGCCGCGAGGCCGAGCGAAUCCCCAAACAAUGUCCCAGUAAAGACUGUAGGCUGCAACUCGCCUACACGAAGUCGGAAUUGCUAGUAAUGGCAGGUCAGCAUACUGCCGUGAAUACGUUCCCGGGCCUUGUACACACCGCCCGUCACACCAUGAGAGUCUGCAAUACCCGAAGUCAGUAGUCUAACCGCAAGGAGGACGCUGCCGAAGGUAGGGCCGAUAAUUGGGGUGAAGUCGUAACAAGGUAGCCGUAUCGGAAGGUGCGGCUGGAUCACCUCCGUGCUAAUC
rnacentral:rRNA from 1 species